UAAUAAGCGGAGGAAAAGAAACUAACUAGGAUUCCCCCAGUAGCGGCGAGCGAAGAGGGAUGAGCCCAGCACCGAAUCCCGCGGUCGUAACCGGCCGCUGGGAAAUGUGGUGUUUGGAAGCGUCCGUUAUCCCGAUGUCUGGCAGUGUGUCCAAGUCCAUCUUGAACGGGGCCACAACCCAUAGAGGGUGCCAGGCCCGUAGUGACCGUUGCCGAUGUCGGGAGGAUGUCUUCUGAGAGUCGGGUUGCUUGAGAGUGCAGCCCUAAGUGGGUGGUAAACUCCAUCUAAGGCUAAAUAUGACCACGAGACCGAUAGCGAACAAGUACCGUGAGGGAAAGUUGAAAAGAACUUUGAAGAGAGAGUUCAAUAGUACGUGAAACCGUUCAGGGGUAAACCUGAGAAACCCGAAAGGUCGAAGGGGGAGAUUCAUCGCGUCUCGCCUCGCCGGCACUGGGCGUUCGUGUGACGAGCGGCGUACGCGUCGCUUGCACCGUCUGUCCUCUGUGAACCGGUGGCGAACGUGUGCACUUCUCCCCUGGUAGGACGUCGCGAUCCGUUGGGUGUCGGUCUACGGCCCGUGGUGGAGCCCGUCAGCGGUGGCUUGCCACUGUCUGCGGACCCACGGUGUUUCCUGGCCGGCUCGCUCGACGGUGUACAGAUGGCGCAGGGCCGCGACUCAGUUCGCGUCCAGCCCGCGGCAAGUAUGGUAGGGCUCUGGCGAUCGGACCUGGUGCCGGUCCUGGACCCUGUUGGCUGCUAGCUGCGGUGCCCUUGGACAGACCUUGUUGAAACGCCAAUCUGCGACGCUAUUGCUUUGGGUACUUUCAGGACCCGUCUUGAAACACGGACCAAGGAGUCUAGCAUGUGCGCAAGUCAUUGGGACAUCACUAAACCCAAAGGCGUAAUGAAAGUGAAGGCUCGUCUUGUGCGAGCCGAGGGAAGAUGGGCGGUCGUUCCCAAUACGGCGGCCGUCCCGCACUCCCGGGGCGUCUCGUUCUCAUUGCGAGAAGAGGCGCACCAAGAGCGUACAUGCUGGGACCCGAAAGAUGGUGAACUAUGCCUGAUCAGGACGAAGUCAGGGGAAACCCUGAUGGAGGUCCGUAGCGAUUCUGACGUGCAAAUCGAUCGUCGGAAUUGGGUAUAGGGGCGAAAGACCAAUCGAACCAUCUAGUAGCUGGUUCCCUCCGAAGUUUCCCUCAGGAUAGCUGGCACUCGUAGCAUACGAGUCUCAUCCGGUAAAGCGAAUGAUUAGAGGCAUUGGGGUCGAAACGACCUCAACCUAUUCUCAAACUUUAAAUGGGUGAGAUCUCCGGCCUGCUCGAACAUGAGGCCGUGAGAAUAACGGAUCAGAGUGCCAAGUGGGCCAUUUUUGGUAAGCAGAACUGGCGCUGUGGGAUGAACCAAACGCCGAGUUAAAGCGCCUAAAUCGACGCUUAUGGGACACCAUGAAAGGCGUUGGUAACUUAAGACAGCAGGACGGUGGCCAUGGAAGUCGGAAUCCGCCAAGGAGUGUGUAACAACUCACCUGCCGAAGUUACUAGCCCUGAAAAUGGAUGGCGCUGAAGCGUCGUGCUUAUACUCGGCCGUCAGUGGCAUGUGCGGCAUGUGUCCGUUUCGACGGCACGGCCAUGAAGCCCUGAUGAGUAGGAGGGUCGCGGCGGUGUGCGCAGAAGGGCUGGUCGUAGGACCGUCUGGAGCCGCCGUCGGUGCAGAUCUUGGUGGUAGUAGCAAAUACUCCAGCGAGGCCCUGGAGGACUGACGUGGAGAAGGGUUUCGUGUGAACAGCUGUUGCACACGAGUCAGUCGAUCCUAAGCCCUAGGCGAAAGCCGAUGUUGAUGUGGUGUAGUUUUCAUAACGACACAUAACAGGAGAAGUAGUGCGUACGGUUCCGCUACCCACACGCCAUUAUUCUGUGUAGCAUCAUCGAUUCAAACGGUUCGAGAGACUACAACCUAGUGUUGUUUGGGCUAGUCACCGUGCGGUCGUUGAGUGUCAAGCAGAGUGUGGUCAAGUGUGGUAGGGACCAACACGCACGCAUAGCUUGUUGUCGCUUGUUGAGUUCACACCCAUCGGGCGAAAGGGAAUCCGGUUCCUAUUCCGGAACCCGGCAGCGGAACCGUCAAUAAUUCGGGCCCUUGCAAAAGAGUUCGUCGGGGCAACCCAAAAGGACCCGGAGACGCCGUCGGGAGAUCCGGGAAGAGUUUUCUUUUCUGCAUGAGCGUUCGAGUUCCAUGGAAUCCUCUAGCAGGGAGAUAUGGUUUGGAACGCGAAGAGCACCGCAGUUGCGGCGGUGUCCGGAUCUUCCCCUCGGACCUUGAAAAUCCGGGAGAGGGCCACGUGGAGGCGUCGCGCCGGUUCGUACCCAUAUCCGCAGCAGGUCUCCAAGGUAAAGAGCCUCUAGUCGAUAGAAUA
rnacentral:rRNA from 1 species